AUGCAGAAAGUAACAUGUUGGUUAUAGUAAGUUAACUUUAUCUUCAGACAAAUACAUAUAAUGAACAGUAAUGUUACUGUUCUACUGCUAAAGACCAGGAAGAACUUGAUGAAUUUUCUUUCAGAUGCCAAGGAUACUCUGAAGGGAUGCCAUUCCUUGUGUUUCCACGGACACACAAAAAAGCAGAGAUUAAAAGUGAAUAUCUGAAAACACCUGCCAGUCACUUCAGGAAAGCACCCUUGGUCCUGAUAGUAAAAGUCUAAUUUUAUAGCAAUAAAAACUGCAUAUUACAGCAAUGUGUUGGCUUUUGUAGUGUUAAAUUACCUACUCAGCUCUUACAUUGGUAGAACAUCUCUAAACUCCCUUUUUAUUGAUAAGGAUCAUCUUAUUGGGGAUUGGGGUGGCUUUUUUUAAUGAAGUGGAGGAAUUCAGCUAGCAGAUAGGCAAUUAAUGUAGCUUUUGCCAUCCUUUUGGGCUACAUUAACCAAGAGACAAUUGCUAUUGCUUGGUACAUACUCCACUAGUCACUGUGAUUAUUAUAUAGCUGGGUACCAACAAUGGCCAUUUGGGAGUUCUUUUUUGCACCCUCAUAUAUAGAUCCAAUGUGGAGCUUUCAUUACCAGGAAGUAAAGUCAUUGCCACAAGCUGCCUAAUUGUCCUCAGGUUGCACAUUCUAUGUAGGGUAGAUUCUUCUGCAUUUUCAAGAUCCAUGAAAGUAAACAUACUUGGUUCCGCACAACCUUCAUCCUGCUUCAGGUUAGUCGAAGACUCAUUGCCUCAUUGAACAAGUGCCCUUUUUUUCUGUUUUGGAAAUUUAUCCAGCACUAAAUAUAUUUCUUAAGAUCUUUUCAGAGCAACGAAUUAUCUUUGAUGGGAUAUGUGGUGCUGCUGUUUUAAAUUUAAAAAUAUUAUCCAUUUCAGUAUUAGCAGCAAUAACUCAUAAUAAAUGGCACUGUCUGAUUGGUUUCCACUAAACUCCCCCCCCCCCCCCCCCCAUCCUUUCAGGGCAGAUCUGUUCAUAUGAAAACAAUGAAACUAAAAAAACCAUGCAUGUUUGUGUCUGGGGCCUGGGGGUUGCACAUUUUUUCCAAAUGAUUUCCCAUAUUAUUUUCUUGCUAUAUAUAUUUAUGUUAUGUGUGCAUGGUGAGCUGAUUCUUUGCAUCUGUUCUUUUCUGAAUGUAUUAGCAUUCAUAUAAUUUGAACCUGAUACCCAAGACUCCUAUGUGUUCUGUUAAUUUUUAUUAAGCAUAAAAAUAGUGACAGCACAUCUAAUUCUGAGAUAUGCUGCAGAAGCUGGAUAUGGUAAGAUCAGUACAACAUAUUCUCAUUUUGUCAUAGAAUGCAAUGUUAUGGGUUUAUAUAGACACAAAAGAGAAAGAAAUACAGGUAGUCCUUGUUUAACAACCUUUCAUUCAGCACAUAUUCUGUUCUGAUGGUGCUGAACAAAAGGCCUUAUGAGAAGUUCUCUAGCUUCUGGCCUUUGCAAUUGCCCAGGGUCAUGUGAAGAAAAUUCAGUCCUGCCCACGUUUACAACUUCCCUCCCACAGUUGACCUUUGUUCUCUUUGCCCCCCCCCCCUUCCAUUGGGUUCACCAACCUGGCCACACAAGGGGAGAUGCUGUGGAAAUGUACAAUAGACCAGCAAUCCCCAAUCUUUCUGGCUUGGUGGCCCAGCGUCUGGGGCAGGUGGUUCAGUGAGUGGUAGGCAUAUGCAUGCAAGAACACACAACUCUAUUUGUAUGAGUGACCUGGGGAUUGGGGAUCCUUGAAGCCUUUAGACCAGCAGAUAAGAGCUAUGGGCAGGUAUGUGCUAUGCCACAACUAACUACUGAUCAAGCCCUCCUUUCACAAAACAACUUAGCUGUGCCAGCAUAACUAGUGCAAAUGGUAGUACUGGCUGAACCAGUUAUGAAAGGAAACUCUGGUCAGCACACAAAACGACAUGUGGCAGAACAUUCCAUACCCGUACAGACCUUACCAGCCACCUGCGGAUACACCGUGGAUAGCCCACAACCCAUUAGAUGUCAAGGUCCUCUUCGAACACGAUGGAAGAACAUCACAACAUUUACAACAUUUAUAAUAUGAAAUAUUAUUUGCUGUCAUCGUCAUAUUGUAACAGCUAUACUAAAGACGGAGAUGACAACUGGCACAUGACAGUCCUCGACUUAUAACAAAAGUUACAAGCCCCCCUCCCAAAGGUAUUUACAGUCUGAUUCAAAUUUCUGACUGUCCCACCCCCAGGUCAUUAUGGGUGCACGGCAAUUGGCCCGCAUUUACAACUGUUUGCAGCAUCCCAGUCAUGACCAGAGUCUACAUUUUUUGUGUGCUGUUAACUGGUGUUUACUUCCAGUUUCAGGCAAAAUAACACCCAUUCGCUUAAAGACCAUGCAAAAAAAAUCGUACAAUCAGGCAUGAUCAUGUGAUGAUCCACUUAGUGCCCGGUACAACUUACGACUGUAAUUCCUUGCUCAAUCAGUAGUAAGUGGAGGACAAUCUGUAUUCAUUAAAAAAAUAGUAAUUUAUGACCCAAAGGUGCUUUUUCAAGAGGCAACUGGACUCUUUGUUUUUCUUUGAAAACGUUUUGCUUCUCAUUCAAGAAGCUUCUUCAGCUCUGACUGGAUGGUGGGGAAUGGAAGGAUUAUCAGCAGCAUCAACUCAUCACCUACAAUGCUGCAAAACAUCUAACCACCUAAUCAGCUCCUCUAAUCAACAUCGAUUGUCUCAUCAACAAUUCACGGGACUUUGCUAGCAAGAUUUGCAAACUAAAACUAGACCCUAAAAUUAGUUUGACAAGACUGCAUUUAUUAAUGCAGUCAGCCUACAAUUGUCUAAAAUCUGCUCAUCUGCAUCUCUCUUGAUGCAUUUAUAUUAUGAUUUGUAUGAUGGCCAUAUGCAUAUUAGAAAUCUAGUGAUGGAAUAAUAAAUGCUAGAAAUAGAAGAACACCAUUGAAUUUUGAAAGUUAACAACUAACCCAGCUUCACCUAUUUUUUGUAUCAGCUAUGAUACCACUACACUUUGUUAUCUCGUGCAGCUUUCCAAAAUACUUGUAAAACAGUAAUUUAUAAGGCGCAGGGCGGCUUCCCGAUUGCACCUUUAGACCAAAAAAUAGUAUUUUCAAAGCCAAAGUUUACAUGUUAUCAUCUGUAUUUAAUAUUUAUAUUCAUUAUUCUGUAAAGUUUAACAAGCUUGAACAACUCAAAAAUAACUACAGAAAUAUUUAAAAUUAUUAAUUAUUAUAAAUUUUUAAACAUACAACCCAUUGCAAAAGUGUAUCAAAGUGUUUGAUUCUACAUUGUUGCUUCUGCCAAAGUUUCAAUGAUGUGGAGUGGCAUCAACAAGUUACUU